CGACCCCUCGGCCUCGUCAUCGUCCCCCAGAUCUUUCCCCCUUCCAGAUCCACUUCCCCUCGGCCCUUCCCCUUUCUCCACCGCACCCGAGCGCCGUUGUCGCAAGGCCCAUCGCCGCCGCAGCCACUGACCUCCCCGAGCCUCGUGGAGACUUCCAGGAGCUCCGCCCACCUCAUCUUCGUCGAUUCCAAGCAGUAGAUCAAGCGGGGGAGCGCCGCAUCGCCGCCAUCGAGGCAUCUUCCCCGACCUCCCCGAGCGCGUCACCGAGCUCUGUGAGCUCGAGCUGAAGCCUUACAACCUACCGUAUCUCAUCCCGUCCCCGCUCGGCUGGUCGCCGCCCGCGUGCGCGUGCGCUUGCCGGACCUGACCGUGCAGCAGCUUGGCCGGCACCGAAGCCCCCAUCGGGGUCGGCCGGACUUGCGUCACUUGGCUGGCCGCGGCCCAUGUGCGCUUGCCGGACCUAGCCGUGCUGCAGCUUGGCCAGAAUCAGCGCCUAAAUCGACGUCGGGCGGACGGCGGACCAGCGUCGCCACCCAGUGGCGCGGAGGUUGGCGAGCCAGCACGGGGCGACUACACAAGAGGGCGGCGCCUCGGGCUUGUGGAGGAGCUUGGAGGAGGGGUCGAGGGAGUGAAAUGAAGGACGUCGAGGACCGCAGCUAGAGCGCCAUGGAUUUGAUAUGCCCUUGGAGAGGAAGAAGGGGGACGGGGAUGCUUGGAGGGGGACGGGGAUGCUUGGAGGGGGAGAGGGACUGCAAUCUUUGUCUCCAGCUCGGGUCGUCAAUUCCGUCCUCAAGAAAGCCGCCGGGCUGCAGUUCGUGUACUCAACAUCACCUACACAGGACACAGAAUGCGGUCACAGAUUCCUGUAGAAGUUCUACAAGGGUGCAGCACACUGCUUUUUCCCGGCCAACACUCUGGAUCGUGUCACAGUUGAUGGAAAGCGGAUCUUUUAGGCAAACAUAUUUGUGUGCAUUGCUGGAUGUGAAGUCUCCCGCAAUGGUUCAAAACAAAGAAAUUAGAGAAUUUGCCGCAGAUUCAUCGUCAGAACCGAAUGAGAUUUCUUACUUUUGGUGCAUGAGAUUGUUCGUCAGAGUUGUGGUUCCCUGGAACACUCCUCGGAGAAGCCAUCAGGGAUGCAAGACUCGGAGAAGCCAUCAGGGACGCGGAUUCCUUUGCUGCUCAAUUGAAGAGAAGAGUUUCAUGAUUCCUGGUUAAGCCGCUACUGAUAAUUGUGCGCUUUAAGGCUGUAAGGUCACUUCCACCUCAUAUGAGAUGUAGACUUGCAUUUUGGCGCCCUUUUGUGUAUUCUGUGGUUCUUUUGGCGGGUGCUGAAGAAGGGAAUCAGUAUUACGAUGUGUAUUUUGUUUUUUUUCCACUUAAAAUCAGGAUCAAUCGUUGUGU